GUGCUUGCUUCAGCAGCUUAUCUACUAAAAUUGGAACCAUGUGGAGAUUAGUGUGGCCCCCGCACAAGGAUGACACGCAUAUUAGUGAAGCAUUCCAUAUUUAA